ensembl:ncRNA
GGAUACAUUCAGUAUACGUUUA